UACGUAGGGGGCAAGCGUUGUCCGGAAUUAUUGGGCGUAAAGCGCGCGCAGGCGGUUCUUUAAGUCUGGUGUUUAAACCCGAGGCUCAACUUCGGGACGCACUGGAAACUGGGGAACUUGAGUGCAGAAGAGGAGAGUGGAAUUCCACGUGUAGCGGUGAAAUGCGUAGAUAUGUGGAGGAACACCAGUGGCGAAGGCGACUCUCUGGGCUGUAACUGACGCUGAGGCGCGAAAGCGUGGGGAGCGAACA
rnacentral:rRNA from 1 species